rnacentral:sRNA from 1 species
GCCAAACACUUCCGGAGCUGCGGGGACGACUCUUCUGGAGGAAGCAGCGCGGGCUUGACCGGCGUCGGCCCGCCGCCUCUGCUGCCGCUUCGCCCCAAUCCGGUCCCUCUGGCCCGGCCUGACCCGGUCUGGCUUGUUCGGGCUCAGCGGCCGCGAGGCCGCAGCUCCCGAUGGAAAUCAUAUUACAUAGAAUACUUGGGUGACAUCUGCCUGAGAGAUCUCCAAGAAUUACAGUGAGUGACCACUAGUGUUUGUUAACAAAAGUGAUUGGACCACGAAGUGGCAGGCUGAGGCAUGAAGACCCAUUCAUGUAGCCUUAAAAGAUUUCAGGCAGUUGGCGAGUAAGAAUUCUAAAUAAAAAUUGAAACUACCACCUGUAUUUUUUCAGGCCGUUGAUGCUCACUGCCAUCAGCUGCAUCCUCCCUAUGGCACUGGUAUCUCAUUCAGUUGCUAAACUUAUAUUAGUUAAUUUCCACUGGCAAGUUUCAGAGAUAUUGGACAGAUACAAGUCCAAUUCUGCUCAACUGCUUGUUGAGGCUCGAGUUCAGCCUAAUCCAUCAAAACAU